AUACGGAGGAUGCAAGCGUUAUCCGGAUUUAUUGGGUUUAAAGGGUGCGUAGGCGGUUUGCUAAGCGGGAGGUGAAAUGCCGGCGCUCAACGUCGGAAGUGCCUCCCGAACUGGCGGACUGGAAUGACUCUGCCGUGGGAGGAAUGUGUAGUGUAGCGGUGAAAUGCUUAGAGAUUACACAGAACACCGAUUGCGAAGGCAUCUCACGAAGGGUUGAUUGACGCUGAGGCACGAAAGCGUGGGGAUCAAACAGGAUUAGAUACCCUGGUAGUCCACGCAGUAAACGAUGAUGGCUAACCGCUGGUUUAUUCGGAUCAGUGGCCAAGCGAAAGCGAUAAGCCAUCCACCUGGGGAGUACGACCGCAAGGUUGAAACUCAAAUGAAUUGACGGGG
rnacentral:rRNA from 1 species